UACGGGGGGGGCAAGCGUUGUUCGGAAUUACUGGGCGUAAAGGGCGCGUAGGCGGUGCUCUAAGUCGGAUGUGAAAACUCUGGGCUCAACCCAGAGCCUGCAUCCGAAACUGGAGUGCUAGAGUUCUGGAGGGGGUAGCGGAAUUCCUGGUGUAGCGGUGAAAUGCGUAGAUAUCAGGAGGAACACCGGUGGCGAAGGCGGCUACCUGGACAGAAACUGACGCUGAGGCGCGAAAGCGUGGGGAGCAAACGGG
rnacentral:rRNA from 1 species